GGGCGGUUGGUGUAGUGGCUAACAUACUCGCCUUCCAAGCGGGUGACACGGGUUCGAUUCCCGUACCGCUCA
rfam:Millerozyma farinosa CBS 7064 chromosome B complete sequence